rnacentral:rRNA from 1 species
CAGCACCUCAAGUGGUCAGGAUGAUUAUUGGGCCUAAAGCAUCCGUAGCCGGCGCUGUAAGUUUUCGGUUAAAUCUGUACGCUCGACGUACAGGCUGCCGGGAAUACUGCAGCGCUAGGGAGUGGGAGAGGUAGACGGUACUCGGUAGGAAGGGGUAAAAUCCUUUGAUCUAUUGAUGACCACCUGUGGCGAAGGCGGUCUACCAGAACACGUCCGACGGUGAGGGAUGGAAGCUGGGGGAGCAAACCGGAUUAGAUACCCGAGUAGUCC